UACGUAGGUGGCAAGCGUUGUCCGGAAUCAUUGGGCGUAAAGCGCGCGUAGGCGGUCAGGUAAGUCCGGUGUGAAAGUCAAAGGCUCAACCUUUGAAUGCCGCUGGAUACUGCCUGACUUGAGUCCGGAAGGGGCGAGUGGAAUUCCUGGUGUAGCGGUGAAAUGCGCAGAUAUCAGGAGGAACACCAAUGGCGAAGGCAGCUCGCUGGAACGGUAUUGACGCUGAGGCGCGAAAGCGUGGGGAGCGAACAGG
rnacentral:rRNA from 1 species